UAAUGAUUACAUUGGGAAGGUUUACGUU
rnacentral:sRNA from 1 species